UUUUUUAAGAGUUUGAUCCUGGCUCAGGAUGAACGCUGGCGGUGUGCCUGAGAUAUGCAAGUCGAGCGAUUCUUUUCAAACUCGCAAGAGGGAGAAAAGAAAGCGGCGGACGGCUGAGUAACACACAGGAAUCUUCCCCUAGGUAGGGAAUAGCUCACCGAAAGGUGGGGUAAUGCCCUAUAGUCCCAAUGUAGCUUCGGCGAAACUGGGUAAAGACGCAAGUCGCCAAGGGAUGAGCCUGUGGCCUAUCAGGUAGUUGGUAGGGUAAUGGCCUACCAAGCCAAUGACGGGUAGCUGGCCUCAUGAGGGUGGUCAGCCAGAGGGGGACUGAGACACGGCCCCCACUCCUACGGGAGGCAGCAAUCAGGAAUAGUCGGCAAUGGGCGAAAGCCUGACCGCGCGACACCGCGUGUAGGAAUAAGCUCGAAAGAGUGUAAACUACUGUGGUAUGGGAAGAAGUCCGCAAGGAUUGACGGUACCAUACUAGAAAGGGGCCGCUAACUGCGUGCCAGAAGCGUCGGUAAUACGUGGGCCCCAAGCGUUAUCCGGUUUUAUUGGGCGUAAAGGGUCGUGUAGGCGGCUAUAUAAGUUAUCUUUUAAAGACCAAGGCUCAACCUUGGGAAUGGGGGUAAGACUGUAUAGCUAGAAUUUCCUUUAGGGUAAGCGGAACAGAGGGAGGAGUAGUGAAAUGCGUUGAUACUCUCUGGAACACCAGUGGCGAAGGCGGCUUACUGGAAGGAAAUUGACGCUGAGACACGAAAGCUAGGGUAGCGAAGCAGAUUAGAGACCUGCGUAGUCCUAGCCGUAAACGAAUGUCUGCUAGCUGCAUGAAUCUUUCCUUCGGGAAAGUAUCGUGUGGCGAAGGUAACCCGUUAAGCAGACCGCCUGGGGAGUACGGCCGCAAGGCUAAAACUCAAAGGAAUUGGCGGGGAGGCACACAACCAGUGGAACAUGUGGCUUAAUUCGAAACGAACCGAAGAACCUCACCAGGGUUUGACAUGCAACUGCACGAUCUAGGAAACUAGGUCUCCUUCGAGGGUGUUGCACAGGUGCUGCAUGGCUGUCGUCAGUUCGUUCCGUGAGGAGUGCCCUUAAGUGGGACAACGAACGCAACCCCCAUCGUAUGUUACAAGUAUCAUACGAGACUGCCCCGGAUCUUUCCGGGGAGGAAGGAGGGGCAGACGUCAAGUCAGCAUGGUCCUUAUACCCUGGGCUGCACACAUGUUACAAUGAGGAGGACAAUGAGUCUAGCAAGCCGGCGACGGCAAGCCAAUCUCAUAAACCUUCUCUCAGUGGGGAUUGAAGUCUGCAAUUCGACUUCAUGAACGUGGAAUUGGUAGUAAUCGCGGGUCAGCUAUACCGCGGUGAAUACGUUCUUGCCUCUUGCACACACCGCCCGUCAAGCCAACAAAGUCGUUGGUAUUCGAAUUUCGAUGUAUUUCGGGAGAGAGUACCGAUGGCGAUGAGGGUUAAGUCGUAACAAGGUAUCCGUUCUGGAAGGAGCGGAUGGAUCACCUCCUUU
rnacentral:rRNA from 1 species